rnacentral:rRNA from 1 species
GUGGGGAAUAUUGGACAAUGGGGGGAACCCUGAUCCAGCCAUGCCGCGUGUGUGAAGAAGGCCUUUUGGUUGUAAAGCACUUUAAGCGAGGAGGAGGCUACCGAGAUUAAUACUCUUGGAUAGUGGACGUUACUCGCAGAAUAAGCACCGGCUAACUCUGUGCCAGCAGCCGCGGUAAUACAGAGGGUGCAAGCGUUAAUCGGAUUUACUGGGCGUAAAGCGCGCGUAGGUGGCCAAUUAAGUCAAAUGUGAAAUCCCCGAGCUUAACUUGGGAAUUGCAUUCGAUACUGGUUGGCUAGAGUAUGGGAGAGGAUGGUAGAAUUCCAGGUGUAGCGGUGAAAUGCGUAGAGAUCUGGAGGAAUACCGAUGGCGAAGGCAGCCAUCUGGCCUAAUACUGACACUGAGAGACGAAAGCGAGGGGAGCAAAUGGGAUUAGAUACCCCAGUAGUCC